UGAGGAAUAUUGGACAAUGGGCGCAAGCCUGAUCCAGCCAUGCCGCGUGCAGGAUGAAGGCCUUCGGGUUGUAAACUGCUUUUGUACGGAACGAAACGGCUCUGGUUAAUACCUGGGGCUAAUGACGGUACCGUAAGAAUAAGCACCUGCUAACUACGUGCCAGCAGCCGCGGUAAUACGUAGGGUGCGAGCGUUAAUCGGAAUUACUGGGCGUAAAGCGUGCGCAGGCGGUGAUGUAAGACAGAUGUGAAAUCCCCGGGCUCAACCUGGGACCUGCAUUUGUGACUGCGUCGCUGGAGUGCGGCAGAGGGGGAUGGAAUUCCGCGUGUAGCAGUGAAAUGCGUAGAUAUGCGGAGGAACACCGAUGGCGAAGGCAAUCCCCUGGGCCUGCAAUGACGCUCAUGCACGAAAGCGUGGGGAGCAAACA
rnacentral:rRNA from 1 species